GAUGAACGCUGGCGGCGUGCCUAAUACAUGCAAGUCGAGCGAACAGACGAGGAGCUUGCUCCUCUGACGUUAGCGGCGCACGGGUGAGUAACACGUGUAUAACCUCCCUAUAAUUCUGAUAUAACUUCGGAAAACCGGCGCUAAUACCGGAUAAUAUAUUGAACCGCAGUGUGCAAUAGUAAAAGACGGUUUUGCUGUCACGACUCGCUGGUUCCGCGCCGGAUUAGCUGGUUGUUAAGUUAACGGCUUACCAAGGCAACGAUGCGUAUCCGACCUUAGGGGGUGAUAGGCCACCUGGGAGGGGAGCCAGGGUCCAGAGUACUGAGGGAGGCAGCAGUAGGGAACCGUACGCAACGGUCGAAAGCAUGACGGAGUAACGCCGCGUGAGUGAUGAAGGCCUCGCGAUCGUAAAAACCUGUUAUUAGGGAAGAACCAAUGUGUAAGUAACUAUGCCCGUCUUGACGGUAACUAAUAAGAAAGCCACGGCUAACUACGUG
rnacentral:rRNA from 1 species